rnacentral:rRNA from 1 species
GGGUGAAAUUAUACCAGCAUUAGUCACAGGAUCUCAUCAGAACUCUGCAGUUUGAUCUAGACUAGUACUAGGAUGAGUGACCUACUGAGAACUCUUACUGUUGCACCUU